ensembl:snRNA U6 U6 spliceosomal RNA
GUGCUCACUUCAGCAGCACAUACACUAAGAUUGAAAUGAUACAGAGAAGAUUAGCAUGGCUCCUGCACAAGGAUGACAUGCAAAUGUGUGAAGCGUUCCCUAUUUUU